rnacentral:lncRNA from 1 species
GCUCGAUGACGAAAACAAUAAAAUAUGCAAAACGCAUUUCGGUAAGGAAAAGGCAAGUUUAAAUGACUUCCUUUGAAGCUGUCUAUGUUUGACACAAUCUAAUUCUUUUUCAUUUUCUUCUAGAUGUCCCUUGGGCUCUGAGUUUUAUUUCAGGAUGGUCUGAGUAUUUGAUUUUUGUAUAACUAAAUGUGAAUUAUUAUAUUUAUUAGAACACUGUUUAAUGAGACAAUUACCUGGUUUUGAAUGCAUGGUAGCUAAAUACGCAAUUACUAGUGUGAGUCCAAGGUUACUGUGAGAGAUUACCAUUCUCUCUUUAUUCUUUUGAAGUCACUGCAAUGGGAAGCAUGAAAGAUGAGAGCUAAGGCUUGCAGCAUCACUGAUGGGAAUUCAGUGUUUAGAGAACACUUUGAAGUGUUGCUGGUACUACGGGUGGUUGCUAAUCAAAAGACUUGAAUUUCUAAAAUAUCUUUUCAAAUGUAGCUCCUUUUGACUUUCUUAAUUUUAUUUCUUCUUUUUAAAUUCUCAUGUAUUCUUAACGAAUUAAAGAAUAAGCCUUAUUUUAUAACACACUUUUCAUAUUCUCUGAGAAACAAUCUGACAUUUCUGAGAUGAUUUUAAAUUUUCUUGUUGUAGUAAAUAUAUUUUACUUAUAUUGGGAAAGUUGGAGACUGGGUAAAUAAUAUGUGUAAGGAUCGGAGAAAAGAUGGAUACCUUCCAUUUGUUCAAGUAGCAGAGGCACAGUUAUAUUCCAUAAGGCAAUUAACUAAAGCACCAAGCAGAUUCAUGCCAGAAAUUUAAAUAGCCAUAUAGAUAGACGCUAAAUUAGUGAGAGCAGUCUGCUCUACCAGGAUUUUAUCUGACUACUAUGAAGUCUCUGCCAGUUAAGGGAUCUGAGACAUCAAAAUGACAAAUGGAAAACAAACGAAAGCAAAAGAGUCAGAACCUGAGUCCCUGAAGCAGUGCAGAUGUAAGAACACACAGUAAAUGGAAACACUUCAGAAUUAAUACCGUGCUGGCGAGCAUCCCUGAUUCCCACACCCCACUCUUCCAUACG